GAUGAACGCUGGCGGCGUGCCUAAUACAUGCAAGUCGAGCGAAUGGAUUGAGAGCUUGCUCUUAUGAAGUUAGCGGCGGACGGGUGAGUAACACGUGGGUAACCUGCCCAUAAGACUGGGAUAACUCCGGGAAACCGGGGCUAAUACCGGAUAACAUUUUGAACCGCAUGGUUCGAAAUUGAAAGGCGGCUUCGGCCGUCACUUAUGGAUGGACCAGCGUCGCAUUAGCUAGUUGGUGAGGUAACGGCUCACCAAGGCAACGAUGGGUAGCCGACCUGAGAGGGUGAUCGGCCACACUGGGACUGAGACACGGCCCAGACUCCUACGGGAGGCAGCAGUAGGGAAUCUUCCGCAAUGGACGAAAGUCUGACGGAGCAACGCCGCGUGAGUGAUGAAGGCUUUCGGGUCGUAAAACUCUGUUGUUAGGGAAGAACAAGUGCUAGUUGAAUAAGCUGGCACCUUGACGGUACCUAACCAGAAAGCCACGGCUAACUACGUGCCAGCCGCCGCGGUAA
rnacentral:rRNA from 1 species